UAAUACGAAGGGGGCUAGCGUUGCUCGGAAUUACUGGGCGUAAAGGGCGCGUAGGCGGCACUGUUAGUCAGGCGUGAAAUUCCUGGGCUCAACCUGGGGACUGCGCUUGAUACGGCAGAGCUUGAGGAUGGAAGAGGGUCGCGGAAUUCCCAGUGUAGAGGUGAAAUUCGUAGAUAUUGGGAAGAACACCGGUGGCGAAGGCGGCGACCUGGUCCAUUACUGACGCUGAGGCGCGACAGCGUGGGGAGCAAACAGGAUUAGAUACCCUGGUAGUCCACGCCGUAAACGAUGUGCGCUGGAUGUUGGGUGGCCUAGCCACUCAGUGUCGUAGCUAACGCGGUAAGCGCACCGCCUGGGGAGUACGGCCGCAAGGUUG
rnacentral:rRNA from 1 species